rnacentral:lncRNA from 1 species
AAAAGAUAUGGACCCAAUGAUGAGACCAAACGCUGAUCUCCAGUGAAGGAAAUGUUUGUCUUGGCCAAGAAAGGAAGUCCAAGAUAACACUUAAAAUCAACCUCUCAACUCAUCGAGGCUCUGGAGAUCAUAGCUUUUAGCUUCCUGACUCCUCCAAAGAAAACACAGAUGGCAUCUUCCCUGAGGACCAGAGCAAGGGCCAGGAGCUUGCGUUCCCUUUUGUCCCUGAGGAGGUCUCUGGAAACAGCAAAAACUGGAAAAAGAAGCCGUGCUCUAGUUGUGAAACCGAAGAUCAGAUGGAGCCCCAGUUAAGGAGCAAAGAUUCUGCUCUUGGCCAAGAGUAAGGGAAAUGGGAGAUGACGUCGCCGAUCUGCUUCCCACCCGUUGGUGUCGGGUCCCGCGGGGGAACGCGAUCCUGCUGUGUCACGGAGCUGUCACCGCGCCCAGAGUUGGCCAGUCCCACACAGCCAAGUUUCAGCCAAUCAUACACAGUUGAAUGGACAGACCACACCCACCGUGACAAGCACCGCAGAGCCAAUCAGAAGAUUUCUCUACUUUGUUUCCGGUUUGGCCCAGUAGAGCCAAACAGCCCCUUCUGUUGCUUCCCGAAAGCACUGAAUGUUUUCUGGUUCUGAGUGCUGCCCAC